rnacentral:rRNA from 1 species
GAUCCUGGCUCAGAUUGAACGCUGGCGGAAUGCUUUACACAUGCAAGUCGAACGGCAGCACGGACUUCGGUCUGGUGGCGAGUGGCGAACGGGUGAGUAAUAUAUCGGAACGUGCCCAGUCGUGGGGGAUAACGUAGCGAAAGUUACGCUAAUACCGCAUACGAUCUACGGAUGAAAGCGGGGGAUCGCAAGACCUCGCGCGAUUGGAGCGGCCGAUAUCAGAUUAGGUAGUUGGUGGGGUAAAGGCUCACCAAGCCAACGAUCUGUAGCUGGUCUGAGAGGACGACCAGCCACACUGGAACUGAGACACGGUCCAGACUCCUACGGGAGGCAGCAGUGGGGAAUUUUGGACAAUGGACGCAAGUCUGAUCCAGCCAUUCCGCGUGCAGGAUGAAGGCCCUCGGGUUGUAAACUGCUUUUGUACGGAACGAAAAGGUUUCCAUUAAUACUGGGAGCUCAUGACGGUACCGUAAGAAUAAGCACCGGCUAACUACGUG